rnacentral:rRNA from 1 species
UUGGGGAAUUUUCCGCAAUGGGGGCAACCCUGACGGAGCAACGCCGCGUGGGGGAGGAAGGUCUGUGGAUUGUAAACCCCUUUUCUCAGGGAAGAAGUUCUGACGGUACCUGAGGAAUCAGCAUCGGCUAACUCCGUGCCAGCAGCCGCGGUAAGACGGAGGAUGCAAGCGUUAUCCGGAAUUAUUGGGCGUAAAGCGUCCGUAGGCGGUUCAUCAAGUCUGCCGUUAAAGACUGCAGCUUAACUGUGGGCGAGCGGUGGAAACUGAUGAACUAGAGUACGGUAGGGGUAGAGGGAAUUCCCAGUGUAGCGGUGAAAUGCGUAGAUAUUGGGAAGAACACCAGUGGCGAAGGCGCUCUACUGGGCCGUAACUGACGCUGAGGGACGAA